AACGCGAAGAACCUUACCAGGUCUUGACAUCCCGUUGACCACUGUAGAGAUAUGGUUUUCCCUUCGGGGACAACGGUGACAGGUGGUGCAUGGUUGUCGUCAGCUCGUGUCGUGAGAUGUUGGGUUAAGUCCCGCAACGAGCGCAACCCUUGAUCUUAGUUGCCAUCAUUUAGUUGGGCACUCUAAGGUGACUGCCGGUGACAAACCGGAGGAAGGUGGGGAUGACGUCAAAUCAUCAUGCCCCUUAUGACCUGGGCUACACACGUGCUACAAUGGACGAUACAAACGGUUGCCAACUCGCGAGAGGGAGCUAAUCCGAUAAAGUCGUUCUCAGUUCGGAUUGUAGGCUGCAACUCGCCUACAUGAAGCCGGAAUCGCUAGUAAUCGCGGAUCAGCAUGCCGCGGUGAAUACGUUCCCGGGCCUUGUACACACCGCACUACUA
rnacentral:rRNA from 1 species